AUUGAAAGCUGGCGGCAUGCCUUACACAUGCAAGUCGAACGGCAGCACGGGUGCUUGCACCUGGUGGCGAGUGGCGAACGGGUGAGUAAUACAUCGGAACAUGUCCUGUAGUGGGGGAUAGCCCGGCGAAAGCCGGAUUAAUACCGCAUACGAUCUACGGAUGAAAGCGGGGGACCUUCGGGCCUCGCGCUAUAGGGUUGGCCGAUGGCUGAUUAGCUAGUUGGUGGGGUAAAGGCCUACCAAGGCGACGAUCAGUAGCUGGUCUGAGAGGACGACCAGCCACACUGGGACUGAGACACGGCCCAGACUCCUACGGGAGGCAGCAGUGGGGAAUUUUGGACAAUGGGCGAAAGCCUGAUCCAGCAAUGCCGCGUGUGUGAAGAAGGCCUUCGGGUUGUAAAGCACUUUUGUCCGGAAAGAAAUCCUUGGCCCUAAUACGGUCGGGGGAUGACGGUACCGGAAGAAUAAGCACCGGCUAACUACGUG
rnacentral:rRNA from 1 species